GCCAGGAGAGCAUGGGCGGUUCAUGCACUCGACUUGUAAUCGAGACUUCGUGGGUUCAAAUCCCACUCCUGGCU
rnacentral:tRNA from 27 species